UACAUGGGGUGCAAACGUUGCUCGGAAUUAUUGGGCGUAAAGCGCGCGUAGGCGGCUUUGCAAGUCGGGUGUGAAAUCCCCAGGCUUAACCUGGGAACUGCAUUCGAGACUGCAUUGCUAGAGUAUGGGAGAGGGAAGUGGAAUUUCCGGUGUAGCGGUGAAAUGCGUAGAUAUCGGAAGGAACAUCAGUGGCGAAAGCGACUUCCUGGACCAAUACUGACGCUCAUGUGCGAAAGCGUGGGGAGCAAACAGG
rnacentral:rRNA from 1 species